rnacentral:misc_RNA from 1 species
CAGAGUUAUCUAACUCCCAAACCCAUGUGAACUUACCAUUUGUUGCCUCGGCAGAACCUACCUGGUACCUACCCUGGAGCGGCUACCCUGUAGCUACCCUGGAGCGGGCUACCCUGUAACGUACUGCCGGUGGACCUUUAAACUCUUGUUAUUUUAUAUAAUUCUGAGCGUCUUAUUAAAUAAGUCA